rnacentral:tRNA from 1 species
AGGGUUGUAGUUAAAAAUAACGGCUAACUUGCACUUAGACAGAACUACUGUCUUCCCUU